rnacentral:pre_miRNA from 1 species
AUUUUGAAGCCAAUUUUCUGUUAGUUCUUAAGUCCUGCAUAAAAUUGACUUCAAAGUUG